CGCAGCCGCGGUAAUGCGUAGGGUGCAAGCGUUAAUCGGAAUUACUGGGCGUAAAGCGUGCGCAGGCGGUUCGCUAAGACAGAUGUGAAAUCCCCGGGCUUAACCUGGGAACUGCAUUUGUGACUGGCGGGCUAGAGUAUGGCAGAGGGGGGUAGAAUUCCACGUGUAGCAGUGAAAUGCGUAGAGAUGUGGGGGAAUACCGAUGGCGAAGGCAGCCCCCUGGGCCAAUACUGACGCUCAUGCACGAAAGCGUGGGGAGCAAACAGGAUUAGAUACCCCUGUAGUCCCUGUCUCUUAUACC
rnacentral:rRNA from 1 species